GUACAUAGGAGCAAGAGACUGUUUACCAAAUACAGCGGUCUCAGCCAGUUCGCAAGCCGAUGCUAAGUCGCUGACGCCUGCCCGGGGCUGGAAGGUUAAGGGGAUCUGUUAGAGCAAUCGAAGCAGUGCACUUAAGCCCCAGUAAACGGCGGCCGUAACUAUAACGGUCCUAAGGUAGCGAAAUUCCUUGACGGGUAAGUUCCGACCCGCACGAACGGCGUAACGAAUUGGGCACUGUCUCCACAACAGACUCGGUGAAAUUGGAAUUCCGGUGAAGAUGCCGGAUACCUGCUACAGGACGCCAAUCCCCCAUUGACGCUUACCUUAGCUUUACCUUUGUGCUUGGUACUACACGUACAUGCUAGGUGAGGGCCUGUGGCACCCCGCGCCUAGUUGUAGCGUCUCCAGUCUUGUGAU
rnacentral:rRNA from 1 species